UGGUCAAGUUAUUAAGGGUGCAGGGCGGAUGCCUUGGCACUAGGAGCCGAUGAAGGACGUGAUAAGCUGCGAUAAGCUUCGGGGAGUUGCACGUAAACUUUGAUCCGAAGAUUUCCGAAUGAGGAAACUCACUUAGAGUAAUGUCUAAGUAUCAUUAAGUGAAUACAUAGCUUAAUGAGGGGAACUCAG
rnacentral:rRNA from 1 species